rnacentral:lncRNA from 1 species
UCCGGGCUGGAUAACCCCACUGACUAUGCUGUCAAACCGAAUCUUGUGUGAUCCACCGGCAACUGUAACAUUGAAGUCGCACGAGGCGGGGAGGGUCACCUCAACGGCACCCCCAUCAUGGUUCACGUACGACUUCACGCCCAGAGGCAAGAGAGCCCGCAGGAAGUUGUUUUUCGCCAACAGGUCGUAUGCUGUGUCGGAGGUGGCCGCUUGGAGGAUGGAAGCCAUGAAUACGAUGAGGAGCAGAUGCUGGAUGGCCAUGGCUAGCUAACUGUUGCUGCUUACAAAUUGUAUCAAGGAAUAUGAGGAACUGAGAAGUAAGUGUAGACUGAGGCCCUGGCCACGUAUUAUAUAUGCUGCCCAACGAAAUCAAAGUCAAUCGUGCUUUAAUUGCAUUUAUUUUGUUCCUGAUUGUCACUCCAUCAACCGCCUCAUCAAAUAUGCUAAAAAUAUCAUCCCAUUAAAUCAUAUUUAUUUCUGGCCUAGAACAUUCUAUAGUUAAUGGUUAUGCCAAAACGUUCCUCAAAUCUUCAUAAUCAAUACGUACCAUAAAAUGAGACUGAAAUUUCAGAGCAACAUUCAUUUACGUACUUCACAGCCGACAUAUGAAACAUAUGCAAAAACCUAAAAAUGAAUCAAGGGGAAACAUCAACAUCCCAACAGUUUGAUCCUUGAUGUUGGCUUGGGUACCAAUGAGGCUUCUCUUCUCUUCAAAUAAUGUUGUGCAGUGCAACUAAAACAUAAAACACCCGCAAGAAAGAAAUAUUUCAUUUAGAUAUACUUGAGUUUUACAUGAGUAUGCGGUGCAAUAGAAUGAUUAUCUCCCAUUGUGCAGAUCAUCUCUUUCAGGAUGCCUACUCAGGCCAGCACAGACUCAUACAUAACAUCUCCGUCAAAGUUUCCACACUGUUAUAGCAUGAACUCCCAGACCGUGAGAGAGGCUCAGUACCCAUAUCCAAAAUGAAGAGUGCGGAGGAGCAGGUGCCUACCCCUCCACCUUCCACUUCUCUUAAAAUUUUCCUGUGCAAUGCAACUAAACUAAAAAACAACUCCAAGCAAUAUAUUCAAUUUAGAUCUUGUUACGUCUCCAACGUAUUUAUAUUUUUUUAUUGUUCCAUGCUAUUAUAAUUGUUGGGUCAUGAGCCAAAAGCAAGCCAUCGAACAUGCCAGUGUUGGAUUGGAUGAGAUUGUCGACCGCCUGAAGGAGGUUCUCAUCGUGAUCCUUGAAGAGCCGGUCCAGACCUACGGUGAAAUACGCUCGUUGAAGCGCGUACACGCCGCACCUUUCCUCGGACGGCUUGUCCAUCGCCUCCGCUCACGGCCGAUCACGCCACCGCGUCCCGUGAUGGUGUCGCGGCAACUCCAGGACCACUUAAUCUUAUACCAAUUGUGAGCAACUCACCUGAUCAAGAGGAAUUGCUAGGGAUUAGAAUUCGAAAUUGCGGAAAUUGGUUCGUUAGCUAGCCGUCCGUCCACCCUCACAGCUACACUACACCGCCUGUUGCCAUCAUCCAAUUCCCAGCCAGGAGAUAGGAGAGAGUUAUAAUUCCUACUAGCUUAGCCCGCGCGGCGACACGCCGCGCCCAUCGAUCAGUCACGACUAUGUAGACUAUGGUCCAAGCAAUAGAGUAAUAAGUAGUUAUGAUGAAAUUUGUUGCAUGACUUGAGGCUUUUUAGCAAAUUGUUUUGUUCACAACAAUUUAUAGACACAAAUAUCUAUCUUUCAUGGAAACUUUUAGUUUAUUUUGUACAUAGCAAGGGUCUGUUCACCAAGUUGAAACAAAUAGACAACAUGACCAAAAGUAAGGAACUUCGAAACAGUGCUUUCGUAGCUAAAAUUUAAUAAUUUUUCACAUUUCAUAACAUAAAUACUUAACUAAAACUUACAUCUGAUCCGAAGUACAACCAUUGAGACAGUAAAAAAACAACUAUUUUGAUCAUCACAAAAAAAUUAAUGUGCAUUUCAUGGAAAAAGUUUAGAGACAAAAUAAUUUAGCCAAGAGAAAAACUAUUUCAGAUCACAAAAGGCGCUCCAAAGAGUAAUUGUGUAUAUUAUUCAAAAGAACACUUUGUUACCUUCAGAGGCUUUAAUUAGCCCCAUUGCAUCUUGUGGAAUCAUGCAGUGAUACAAAUUCUUACCAUAAACAACAAAAUUAAGCAGCUCUUAAUAUAGAAACAACCAUAUCACUCUGAAUCAAGGGAGCAUGAUGCGAUGAACUGAUGAUGGGGAAUCUAUGGUGGCAUAUACCCAGGAAACAGUGUUCAUGGAAACUUUGUUAAACAACCCCUUGCUCAGCUUAAAAGUAUUCCUUCCUGGGUCUCCACUGAAACAAAGCUAUAUUUAUACACCCACAUGUGAGAACAAUAUGAGCCAUUGUUUGAUAUAAAACCAACAAUGCUUGAACAUACUUGUUUCUCUACCUCACCAUGUGGCGGCCAGAAAAAGCUUUAACAAAUUAAAAACCACUUGCAAAUUGAAGUUGAGAGCCUUCACUUAUUUCUCGAAAUGGAAGGAGGAAGGGGCCUUAAUUUGUCCCAGUAACCCCAUGAAUAUAAUUAGCCAAAUAUGCGGCAUUUCAUCUUAUUACACGGUCAUGCUGAAGGAGGGAACAUCAAUAAAAUUAGGCAUAAGAAAUCCAUCAAAUGAAGAGAGAUGUACUUAGAAAUAAGAAUAACAAACAUUCUCAGAUACUAUGUACCUUAUCCUGCCUCUAAGAAUAUGUCAAGAAGGUGAAUCAUUCACUUUUAUGUUACCGUUGCUGACAACGGACAACUGUGGAUGGAAACAAAAUUCUCGGCAAUGCAUAUAUGAAACUAAGUAACAUGACUUAGAAAAUAUAAUGUAAAAUAUCACAAUAAACUACUACUAAGUAUGUUCAAUAGUAAUACAACCUCAGUUUGUACCCCGGAAAUUUCUAUCACCAAAACAUCUUAGAAAGUUCAGUGCCAGUGAUGUGCCUGCCAUAAAACCGAAUGCCAAUUUUCAGUUAAAAAAUAACCGCGCAAGACCAUAUUCUUCUGCCACCAAGGGUAUAUGAUCGAGUGGGGCCAACUAAAGACAUGCCCCACGAUUCCAUUUUUUAAUGUAUGUUGUUGUAUAAUGAAUGACGGGCUUGUAUGCUUACAUGACUAUUUGGUUUUUGAUGUGAUGAAAAUUGGAGGGAAAGAUGCUGGACGGACUAAUUUGAUCAAUCAGGUGAGUAGAAGUAUUAGAGUUUUGGCCAUCUCAUCCAUUAAAUUUGGAUGGAGGGUAUGCAUCUUAAUAUGAUAAACAUAUAUGCAUACCGUAUAUGGGUUAUAUACAUAUAAAAAUCAGUGCAGCAGGCCUUUUUUCUGAAUCUAAACAUCUUGGUGGCCGAGUUCCAGUGUGAAAAUAUUGGUUUUAGUCCCUGGUCAAAUGGACUGAUGCAUAUUAUGUUUGGUUGUACCACGAAAAAUAAUUUGGUUGCUUUAAGAUAUUCAACCGAGGUAGACGAUGCAAUUUUGGCUGACAUGAAGUUUUACGAUCAUCAAUACAGCAGAAUAUGCAAAAGAUGGGAUAAAGCAAGUCAUAUCUACUCCCUCAGUCCCAUAAUAUAACAGCGUUUUUGACAUGAUGGAGGGAGUAGUUUGUUUAUUUGUUUGAGGAACACUUAUUUGCGGAGAAUAAUGAAGUGUGCUUGCACCGGUAGACAUGAGAUGAACUUGAACAAACGAUCUGCAUUCAUAUAUGCAUUGUACCAGAAAUCAGUGCUGCUCUGACUUGCCUCUGCAUUGCCUCUGAACCAGUGUUGAUCUAUAUCGGAGAUCAGGAAUUUACUCAUCAGGUCACUGCAUCUACUUUAUUGCGAUUAAACCACCAAACUCAAAGAAAUACCAGCAAUUUAUUUAAUAGUCUUAUUUGACUUUUUAUUCAGAACGCAUUGAGCUAUUUCUUUUUCCGAGCUACAUUCUUGUACAUUGGAUUCUCAAGGAGCAUCACUUGCGAGACAUGUCUUCACAUACUACCAUUUCAGAACACCACUCCCUUCACGCACAGGACAUACAUGUUCUACAUCCACCCCUCACACUCCUAAUUUCAAACCGAGUUGGCAGGCUAUUGUAAGGAAGGUAAGCAACCUUCUAGAUGGAAUAUUGGAAUUUACUCUGGCAAGGUAGGUCUUAAACAUAUUAUCAUCUGGCUAUCUACUGUUUGAGCUCCCCAUGCUGCUAACACCAUCAAAUAUUGUUUGCUCCGUACAUCUUCAUAUGCCAAUUUGACCUUUUUUUGGCAGACACAGUAUCUCAGAACAUCUAAAUUGACUCCUUGCAUAGGUCUCUGAAUUGACACAAUCAGAAGGAUAAAACAAUCGCUAGAGCUCUUAUAGGAAGUCACCCAUCAUUUGACUUAGACUAAAGAAGGUGUCUAUCAGAAAAAAAGGAACAAAAAGUAAGUGCGAAGAAACACAUGUAGGGUUGCACAUAAUUUGUAAGAGAUGAUCAAGGCAUAUAGUUGCAGCAAGUAGCAAAUGGCAUGAAUUUAUUCAUGAUGCACUCACGCAUCAAGGGUGUAAAUCUUCUUUAGCUAGGUCCAAAUGCAGAUAGAUACAGUACAGGAAUGAUGUGUGAUAUGUCAUUGUAGGUUUCAGACCUGAUGAAAAGUUUAUUACAGUACAUGAAAAAUAUUCAUGAAACGGUUAUACAGUACAUGAAUGAUGAGAAAUCGGAAAUUUCUGUACAGGAGUGAUGUAUAAUAAAUUGCUGAGAGGAAUAAAGAAGAUGCAGAAUGUCUGAAACUUCUCAAAACCAGAGACAAUUAUACAAAAGCUACCUGACCGAGUAUACGGCUAGGAAUCUGCCUAAUUCAGUGUCUCUUAUAACCCGCCAACGACUACGGCGUAAUCACCAUCACUGCGGCUCAACCAGAAUUCGAUCGAAUAAUGAGGCAAAUGAAGUAGCUAAUAUGGGGUAAAUGCACACUAACUUGGCAGCAAGAACAGAUGGGUCGUAAGCGCCUUCAGUGACCCUACGACCUGCAAAUGGCAGUAUACAGACAGUACGCCUUUACUCCGAAUAACCGAGGAGGAGCUGUCCUUAUGCUCUUUUUUUUGCGGGGGAGCUGUCUUUAUCCUCCACUCAAGCUAGCUAUACUUACAAAGUUAGAGCUAUAUAAAGUUUUGAAGCGUAGCGCUGUGAAUGGAUCACUCGUCCAGCAGCCUCCUGACACAUAAAAUAGGCAGAGCGAGCAUUACAAGGUCCCAUAACUCGGGGUCAGGCUUCUCGAACACGAUGACGCGCACCACCGUGCGCCACGCCGACGCCAGGUAGUAGAGCGCGGGCCUCUUGCACUGGUUGUGCGCCAGGGGCUUCAUGUUGAAUGCGCGCGCCUUGUAGUCGGCGGGCCAGUACCAGUUCAUGAACGUCCGCGCCGGCAUCUGCAUCUCCCGCGCCAGCACGACGCCCUCGGCACCGUCACCACGAACCCCCACGCCACUGACACCAUCCACCAGUUCGCCGCGAUGUAGCAUAUCGACUGGUGCAUCACCCCCGUCGAACAGCCUCCGCAGAGACGCCGGGCGCGAACGCACGUUGGGGAUAAGCGGUCGAGGUGGUGCAGCGAGUCAGCGACACCAGCGGUGCCACCUGGUGGGCGGCGAGGAGGCCUAGGAGGUCACCAUACACGCCUUACUCGUGGAAGCCCGAGUGUCGGCACUCCCAGCUCCGCCAUGCCCCAUGCACGAUGUAGUAGGGGACGGCGAGGAGGUUGUUCGGGAGGAAGACCGUGUUGUCGACUUGUCGUCACCCAUGACGAACCAGCGUACACCUGGGAGACUGAGGCGGAAGGUCUCGGAGAUGACGGUCGACGUGUGAGAUGCAUGCGGAUGGCAGAGCGAUGACCGUGCGUGUAGGAGAAACCGGAGGUAUCCGGUAAGAUCUUGAUGUAUAUGCACUCCUUCCGCUUCUCCAACAGGCGCGCCAACGCCGUGAAGCCGAACACUACAGCGUAAUCGUCGUUGUCAACACCGUGGCCGUGGCAGGUUGCGGUGGUGGUGGCGUACUCGUCGUCAACACCACCGUAUCUGUGGAGGGUGGUGGUGGCAUCCUCGCCGUCGACACCACCGUGACCGUGGCGGGCAUCAGCAGGGGCCUCGCCAGCGGCAACGUGACUAAUCAGGAGGAUAGCGUUGUGGGCGGCUUCUUCUGGGUGGAGGCAGCCGGGCGCUGCCACGCUGGGCAAGAUGCUAUGUGCGAAGAAGAGCCCUUUUAUAGGCCAGUACGGCGGUGAAUGGGUGGCUGGGUUAUGCACCGCACUGGAGCAGAGUUUUCGGGAGCGUCUAGAACACACGGCUGGACAACAGCAGUAGUAACAAAAAGGUACAUAUCGAUUGGGCCAGAAGCGGUCACGACAGAAAUACAGAGAAGCAUCGAUGUGUCUGGAAAGGGAGAUUUCGAUUGGGCCAGAAGCGGCCGCGACAGAAAUACAGAGAAGCAUCGAUGUGUCAACCAAGCGAUCGCCACACCCGUUGAAGAAAUUUGAAUCAAAAAACUGAACACACCACUCAUUUCUACCCUGCCGUGUACCAAAAAAAUACCACGCGCCAUACCCACAACUCACCAUAGGUCACUUUCAUCCAAUUGGUUUAAUCUCAAAGCGAAAACCUUGCCUGCAAUAGAGGCUUGGGUAUUUAAACUAGUGAUCGCUAACAUAGUAGAAGGGCGUGCUCAUAGUCCAUCAACCAUCGCGGUGGGUUGAUCUCGAACCUAGGCUGCGGUUAGAGCAUAAAAAUUGUAUGCGAUAUUGAGUCCAUCACACAAAGUUAGAACAUACAAACUAUGUGCAAUAGGAAGGGUCCAUCACACACGGUUAUAAUUAAAAAUCGUGUGCUCGGAUGGGUUGGCGAUUGGGGUGCCAAUACACACGCUUUCAAAACGGUGUGCGAUGAAUGGGCUCGACUAGGUCUAACAUAAGUGCUACAUUAUACAAUUAUUCAUUUUUUACAAGCAAACAUAGCACCAGACAUAAUUCACAAUUGGACAACCCAUCGCACACUCUACGAUAUUUUGUUCUGCCAUUUCUCUACUAAUGGACAAAAGGCACUCGGCUUACAUCGGUAUGCCAACAUGAUGUACCUUGAGUGCGUUACGCUGAGUGUCAAACCCGCCGAGGCAAAAUCAGCCUUUGCUAGGGGGUCUGCACACCCAAUGGCGGAGCUAUGUUGGNNNNNNNNNNNNNNNNNNNNNNNNNNNNNNNNNNNNNNNNNNNNNNNNNNNNNNNNNNNNNNNNNNNNNNNNNNNNNNNNNNNNNNNNNNNNNNNNNNNNNNNNNNNNNNNNNNNNNNNNNNNNNNNNNNNNNNNNNNNNNNNNNNNNNNNNNNNNNNNNNNNNNNNNNNNNNNNNNNNNNNNNNNNNNNNNNNNNNNNNNNNNNNNNNNNNNNNNNNNNNNNNNNNNNNNNNNNNNNNNNNNNNNNNNNNNNNNNNNNNNNNNNNNNNNNNNNNNCGCCACUGUGCACACCCAGCUUAAUAUGCUUUCUUGUAGUGGAGAAAUUUCAACGUAUGAUGUAAAAUAGCCGUUGUGUCAAAAGAAUUGACAGUUAGGUCACUUUGGGCCAAAAAAAGUAUCCAAAAGAUGCCCUAUAUACCUAUAUGUUGCAAAAUAAAAUUACCCAAAAUUUUGUCACACACAUCUAGUAGCUGCGUUGAAACCAAAAACAAUGCAGCAGGAACCCAACCACUAGCGAUGAGACUACCCCACCGCCGACAGUCGCCACCCCACACCUACUCUGACCGACUGUGCAGCGCAUGCCGCCGCCGCGACUCAAUCGGCCAUUCUCAGCCCCGCUACCACCCUGCCGCUUGGGAUGUCCGCUACCAAAUCUUGGGCCGGCGCAUCCGAUUCCACCGACUCUGGCCAUAGAAAGUUGGUGUAGCUACCGGGACAUCCCCCUUCAGUAUUUUGGCUAAUUUUGAACUUUUUGUCCGGAUCACAAGAAAAUGUUAGUAUCGUCCAUGUUGCUGAAGGGGAAUUACUACUUGGGGAUUUGCUCACUGAAUAUUGGAAUAUACUUACUUUAUGCAUGCCAUCAAAUAUAGCUCAUCCCCUGAAAGAACAAAGAUUGCUGAUGUUUUUUUCCACGGUUUUCUAAACAAUGUUGAUCUUUUUCAGAGAAAUGCAAUGAUUAUUUUUAGAGAACAUUCUGCAAAUCAACUAAAUAAGAGUCUAGGCAUUCUUCUUGUUUUUUUCGGGGGGAAGGUGUCUAGGCAUUUAUUAACAUGUAGAACUUACAAUGCAUGGGGAAUGAAAGAUCAAAUAUACCUUGCUCUCCUUUCUUAUUUUAGUGGCUGUUAAUGUCAUCAUAAAGAAUAUUACACAUUAGGAUUGAGUUGUUUUGCUCUUCUAUUUUCCAGUAAGCCCUGCGAUAUUUUACAACCCAUCGGACACCCUUGUGGAUCUGAUGCUAUGUAGAUCAAGAUUAUUUCUAAUUACCUGCGAGACACCGACAAAGUAUAUCAUGUGGAAUUUCUUGUUCCUGUGGUUAGACUGGAUCAGAAUCUAUCAGUUGAUUUUUAAAUCCGUGUUCUACAGCUCUAAGGUAGCCUCUCUGGUAGUCCCUAGUUCCUAAAUUUGUUGUUUGUUAAUUGAAGUCGAUGCCCAGAAUUGUUUUUCACAAUCCAAUCAUUGGAUAGGAUUAGUGUGUUGAAAACUGCACUAUCUGUGCUUCAUUUAAAGAUGACACAAAAAUUAAUUUUGUAAUUGUUGUGGAUUGCAUUCCAAUCGAACCCAAUUUGCUCAGUUUGGAUUAAUGGUUGCUGAGGUAUCACCAGAAUGGUGCUGCUGUACAAGUAUUUUCAAAGUUGAGCAGAUAUUGUUUUUGCAACUUUUAACAAAUUUCUAUUCGCAAGAACUAGUCUAUAUUCAGAUAUGACCAGUUUCUUAUUACAACAUGCAUGAAAGACGUAGAUAACUUCAUGUUGAAUAUCCUGAUUUGUUUAUUUUCUUCAUUUUGUAAAAUGGAUCAUGAUUUAUAUCCUAGAAAUUCAUAUAUGACGUGCUUUGGAGUUCAAAUUAAAUGGAGAAUCCAAGCUAUGCUUGUAUAUUUACCUAAUAAUAAUUAAUGGGCUAGCUCUAGGAGAUAUUUAUACAUAUACUAUUAGGUAUUAGGAUGUUCAAGAGCCAAGAACAAUACAUAAAAAUUUUAUGUUUAUAUUAAAGGGGCCUCGGGUUUUACUUUCGCCCCGGGCCCCCGAAAUGUCAGGACCGGCCCUGGGAGCAAGCAGCAAGGGAUCAUCGGCUCCGGUGGCGAUGAUAGGCGGCACUGGUGAGACAGCGAACGACAACGCAUGAAGCAAGCAGUAAUGGAUCGCCGUCUCUCGUGGCGAUGAUCCGCAUCAGCGGCUGUGGGACGGCUAAUGACGACAUGCAGAGCAAGCAGCAAGGGAUCGCCGCUCGCCGGCUCCAUCAUGAUGAUCUUCGGCGGCGGUGAGACAGCCGAUGACGACGCACGAAGCAAGCAGCAAGGGACCGCCGUCUCUCACAGCGAUGAUCUGCAAUGGCGGUGAGACGGCUGAUGACGACGCGCGGAGCAAGAAGCAAGGGAUCGUUGUCUCCCCCAACGAUCAUCUUGCCUUGGCGCUGGGAGCGGUUAGCGCGGUCGCAGGGCGACCUUCAACAGCAUGACGAAAAACGUGGAGAGCUCGGUGGCGGCAUGGGUGAUCGCCACUGUUCCUGGUUCUGCUCGGUGUUGUGUUCUUCCUCCGGGACUUGAUGCAUUUAUUUCCGGUACGUGUGCGUGGCUAUCCAGUUUAAAAGACAACAACCACGGAAAUCCAUAACUCUUGGACUUCGGACCUACCUUUCGUGCUCCGCCUCCUAGUAAAGUGCCUCAGUCAGUGGGUUACCCUCCUUUCUUAUUUUAGUGGCUGUUAAUGUCAGAUAUCAUAAAGAAUAUUACCACAUUAGGAUUGAGUUGUUUUGUUCUUCUAUUUUCCAGUAAGCCCUAUGAUAUAUAACCUAUCGGACAGCCCUAGAUCUGAUGCUAUGUAGAUCAAGGUUAUUUCUAAUUACCCACGAGACUCCGACAGAGUAUAUCAUGUGGAAUUUCUUGUUCUUAUAGUUAGGAUGAACCGUUGCAACAUCGUCUCGCAAUAAAUAAUUGUGCAAAAAAAUUAUGAUCAUUCACAAUAAUAUUGGAUCUCGAAACCAUGACUUAUUACAUAAUCAGUUUAUUCACUCUACAUAAAGCAGCGGACUCAUAGAGACAUAUGCAUAUUGGAUAGUACAUUAUAUGGAAGGCGUGCAUGCAUCCCUAACCGAUCACACCCUUAGUUGCACCUGGGGCUCUGCACGAUUGCUAACCGGAAAUGACUGGUCAAACGUGGCUGCAUGCUCACUACCAGUAAACCUAAGCUUGUCACCGACACGUUGAACCGUAUGGAAUGCAAGAAAAUGCCACUCAAACUGGAUCCUGACGCCGCCCCAAUUGAGUAAUGGAUCCGGGCUGGAUAACCCCACUGACUAUGCUGUCAAACCGAAUCUUGUGUGAUCCACCGGCAACUGUAACAUUGAAGUCGCACGAGGCGGGGAGGGUCACCUCAACGGCACCCCCAUCAUGGUUCACGUACGACUUCACGCCCAGAGGCAAGAGAGCCCGCAGGAAGUUGUUUUUCGCCAACAGGUCGUAUGCUGUGUCGGAGGUGGCCGCUUGGAGGAUGGAAGCCAUGAAUACGAUGAGGAGCAGAUGCUGGAUGGCCAUGGCUAGCUAACUGUUGCUGCUUACAAAUUGUAUCAAGGAAUAUGAGGAACUGAGAAGUAAGUGUAGACUGAGGCCCUGGCCACGUAUUAUAUAUGCUGCCCAACGAAAUCAAAGUCAAUCGUGCUUUAAUUGCAUUUAUUUUGUUCCUGAUUGUCACUCCAUCAACCGCCUCAUCAAAUAUGCUAAAAAUAUCAUCCCAUUAAAUCAUAUUUAUUUCUGGCCUAGAACAUUCUAUAGUUAAUGGUUAUGCCAAAACGUUCCUCAAAUCUUCAUAAUCAAUACGUACCAUAAAAUGAGACUGAAAUUUCAGAGCAACAUUCAUUUACGUACUUCACAGCCGACAUAUGAAACAUAUGCAAAAACCUAAAAAUGAAUCAAGGGGAAACAUCAACAUCCCAACAGUUUGAUCCUUGAUGUUGGCUUGGGUACCAAUGAGGCUUCUCUUCUCUUCAAAUAAUGUUGUGCAGUGCAACUAAAAUAUAAAACACCCGCAAGAAAGAAAUAUUUCAUUUAGAUAUACUUGAGUUUUACAUGAGUAUGCGGUGCAAUAGAAUGAUUAUCUCCCAUUGUGCAGAUCAUCUCUUUCAGGAUGCCUACUCAGGCCAGCACAGACUCAUACAUAACAUCUCCGUGAAAGUUUCCACAAUGUUAUAGCAUGAACUCCCAGACUGUGAGAGAGGCUCAGUACCCAUAUCCAAAAUGAUGAGUGCGGAGGAGCAGGUGCCUACCCCUCCACCUUCCAUUUCUCUUAAAAUUUUCCUGUGCAAUGCAACUAAACUAAAAAACAACUCCAAGCAAUAUAUUCAAUUUAUAUCUUGUUGGGUUAUGAUACGUCUCCAACGUAUUUAUAUAUUUUUUAUUGUUCCAUGCUAUUAUAAUUGUUGGGUCAUGAGCCGAAAGCAAGCCAUCGAACAUGCCAGUGUUGGAUUGGAUGAGAUUGUCGACCGCCUGAAGGAGGUUCUCAUCAUGAUCCUUGAAGAGCCGGUCCAGACCUACGGUGAAAUACGCUCGUUGAAGCACGUACACGCCACACCUUUCCUCGGACGGCUUGUCCAUCGCCUCCGCUCACGGCCGAUCACGCCACCGCGUCCCGUGAUGGUGUCACGGCAACUCCAGGACCACUUAAUCUUAUACCAAUUGUGAGCAACUCACCUGAUCGAGAGGAAUUUCUAGGGAUUAGAAUUCGAAAUUGCGGAAAUUGGUUUGUUAGCUAGACGUCCGUCCACCCUCACAGCUACACUACACCGCAUGUUGCCAUCAUCCAAAUCCCAGCCAGGAGAUAGGAGAGAAGUAUAAUGCCUACUAGCUUAGCCCGCGCGGCGACACGCCGCGCCCAUCGAUCAGUCGCGACUAUGUAGACUAUGGUCCAAGCAAUAGAGUAAUAAGUAGUUAUGAUGAAAUUUGUUGCAUAACUUGAGGCUUUUUAGCAAAUUGUUUUGUUCACAACAAUUUAUAGACACAAAUAUCUAUCUUUCAUGGAAACUUUUAGUUUAUUUUGUACAUAGCAAGGGUCUGUCCACCAAGUUGAAACAAAUACACAACAUGACCAAAAGUAAGGAACUUCGGAACAGUGCUUUCGUAGCUAAAAUUUAAUAAUUUUUCACAUUUCAUAACAUAAAUACUUAACUAAAACUUACAUCUGAUCUGAAGUACAACCAUUGAGACAGUAAAAAAACCACUAUUUUGAUCAUCACAAAAAAAUUAAUGUGCAUUUCAUGGAAAAAGUUUAGAGACAAAAUAAUUUAGCCAAGAGAAAAACUAUUUCAGAUCACAAAAGGCGCUCCAAAGAGUAAUUGUGUAUAUUAUUCAAAAGAACACUUUGUUACCUUCAGGCUUUAAUUAGCCCCAUUGUAUCUUGUGGAAUCAUGCAGUGAUACAAAUUCUUACCAUAAACAAAAAAAUUAAGCAGCUCUUAAUAUAGAAACAACCAUAUCACUCUGAAUCAAGGGAGCAUGAUGCGAUGAACUGAUGACGGGGAAUCUAUGGUAGCAUAUACCCAGGAAACAGUGUUCAUGGAAACUUUGUUAAACAACCCCUUGCUCAGCUUAAAAGUAUUCCUUCCUGGGUCUCCACUGAAACAAAGCAAUAUUUAUACACCCACAGGUGAGAACAAUAUGAGAUUGUUUGAUAUAAAACCAACAAUGCUUGAACAUACUUGUUUCUCUACCUCACCAUGUGGCAACCAGAAAAAGCUUUAACAAAUUAAAAACCACUUGCAAAUUGAAGUUGAGAGCCUUUACUUAUUUCUCGAAAUGGAAGGAGGAAGGGGCCUUAAUUUGUCCCAGUAACCCCAUGAAUAUAAUUAGCCAAAUAUGUGGCAUUUCAUCUUAUUACAUGGUCAUGCUGAAGGAGGGAACAUCAAUAAAAUUAGGCAUAAGAAAUCCAUCAAAUGAAGAGAGAUGUACUUAGAAAUAAGAAUAACAAACAUUCUCAGAUACUGCUUUCUGCCACGGAUGGCUCUCCUUCUUCGGAUGCUGCUUUUUAUCGGUCUGUCGUUGGUGCUCUCCAGUACCUUACUCUGACUCGACCGGAGAUCCAGUAUGCCGUGCAACAUGUGUGUCUUCAUAUGCAUGCUCCUCGAGACAUUCACUGGGCUGCCGUCAAGCGGAUUCUCCGCUAUAUCUGUGGCACUAUGGAUCUUGGCGUCACGCUUCACGCCUCCGCCGACACCGCCCUGCGUACUCCGAUGCAGACUGGGCGGGCUGCCCUGACACUCGUCGUUCCACUUCGGGCUACUGUGUCUACCUUGGACCCUCACUUAUCUCGUGGUCGUCCAAGCGGCAGCCUACGGUCUCUCGUUCUAGUGCUGAGGCUGAGUAUCGUGCGGUGGCCAACGCCGUCGCCGAGUGUUCGUGGCUUCGCCAGCUGCUUCAGGAGCUCUCUUGUCCUGUUGACCGUGCCACGGUGGUCUACCGCGACAACGUCUCGGCGGUCUAUCUCUCCGCUAACCCGGUGCAUCAUCGACGGACCAAACAUAUUGAGUUGGAUAUUCAUUUUGUUCGGGAACAGGUGGCCCUUGGCCAUAUUCGUGUUUUACACGUCCAUACUUCCCAACAAUUUGCCGAUAUCAUGACCAAGGGCUUGCCUACGGCGUCAUUUGAGGAGUUCCAGUCUAGUCUUUGCGUCAGCCGCGGUGCCGCUUCGACUAGGGGGGGGGGGUGUUGAGUAUAUGUGUUAUGUGCAUAUUGCGUAUUGGGCCCGCCUUCUAGUUCAUUGUAUAGUUGAGGUCCGUGGCCCACCUUUAUACAUCAUAUAUACGUGCCUAUGCAUGAAGAGUAAUACAUCGUGCAAUUGCCACAACUCACAAUGUUGAACACGCCACUCCUCAAGAUCGUUGCAGCCUCGCUGCACCAGCGUCGUGAUUUUUCUGGCAAGCCGUUGGUCCCUGAUAUUAGCUGACGUUAGCUGACACAAGGGUCCCACUACGGCCGCCAUCGCUUGCCCCUUUGUUGUCGAUGCCAGGUGGGCCACUCACUUCAGCUCCUUCUCCAAGCCAGCCAGUUAAUCAGGUCACAAAACCAGCCAUGGAGCACCCCACCGAAUCCAGCCAAUCAGGUAUAGAACCUGUUGGCAUAAGCCAUGCCAUGUGCGGUGGCGACUGGCGUUGGGCGCGCCAGGUGUGUGUCCGUGUAUGCGUGGGAGAGGCCACCCGAGUCGUGUGUGCUGUGACAGUUCGUGCAUGCAUGUAGCUGGAUUAGUGGUCGCAGGUGGUGACCAAGCCACACGGGUCAUACGUGCAUCUAGUCUAGGUAGUUAGUAUAAGGAUGCAUGCAUUGGUUAGCGUGUUAGACGGCCAGUGGUGGUUGGAUUACUACGGCCCUGUUUGGUUCAUAAGUCCUACGAUUUUUUUAGUCCCAACUUAUAAGUUUCAAGUCCCUAAAAAGUCCCUACCUGUUUGGUUCCUGCGACUUAUAAGUCCCUAUAAGACCAUAUUACAACUAUAAGACCCUAUACGUUCCUCCUUGAAAGUCUUAUUUCAUAAGUCCCAAAUGCCUAGUUUAAGUCCCUAUAAGUCCCUCCUGUUUGGUUUAGAUGGGACUUACAAGGACUUUUUUAAGUCUCUUGUAACGUCCCGGAUACAACUUUCCAUAUUCGUAACUCCAACUCUUGCCUUUUCCGGAGAUGCGAUAUGAUAUUUCCUUCGUGGUUGGGUUUUGUCUGUUGUUUUGCAUUUUGUUCUUGUUAUGCAUCUCAUCUCAUGUCAUCAUUCGCAUUGCAUCGGCAUUGUUUUCGUAAAACUUGCAUCAGUGGCCUAAAAAUGUUCUCGGAAUGGGAUGCAACUUGGCGUGCGGUCUUAUUAUAGUGUAGACAGACCGCCUGUCAAGUUUCGUCGCAUUCGGAGUCCGUUUGACUGCCCAACCGUUAAACAUAUAGCGGCACCGUUGCCGGUGUUUUCGCUGGACGUUUCGGUCUCCGGAACAGUUGCCGGGCCUCACUUCUCUUCUCUCCUCUCAGUCGAGGCCUCUCUUCACAGCCCACCUAGACCCCCUAUGUCCGGAGCUGCACGAUCGCGAUCGUACGGCUCGAAAACCCCUCCAACCCUAAUCUUAACCUCCUGCCCUAUUUAAACCACCUUCCCCUUCCAAUUUUGGCAGCCUCCCCCCUCCUCCUCUUUUUCCGCAACACCCAACCCGCAGCCACCUCCUCCCACCUCGGGGGCCGCGCCGCCGCCUUCCCCCCUUCCAGAUCCGGCGCGCCCCAGCCUCCCUCCGCCACUUGUCAAGCCCCUAGUGGCCAGCCACCGCCACAUCGUCGCCUCCAACCACUCUGGGAGCGCCACAUGGCCUCGCCGCGUCCUCCUCGCCGCCGAGGCCCGCGGAAGCCCGCAACCGGACCACCCCGGGCCGCAUCUGGCCUCGGCGCACCCACUCCCCCACAACCGUGCCGUCUCCCUGCUCGCCCGAGCGAUCCAGAUCGGGAGAGGAGCUCCCGAUCCAGAUCGUGCCUCGCCGCCGCCUCUGGCCGAAGCCAUCUCGCCGCCGUCUCACCGCCCCGGCGGACCCAGGUCGCUGCCGCCCGGUCUCUCUCUCCCUUCCCUUUCUCCUUCCUCCCCUCACCAGCUCUCUCUCCCCCGCAGCUAGCCGCCGCCGCCAUGAACGCCUCCACCGAGCUCCGCCGUGGGCAUCACCACCUCACCGCCGGCCUCCUUCCGCCAGAUCCGGGCAGGGGAUGGUCGGAUCCAUCCAUCCCCAACCUCCCGCCGACCCCUACAACACCGGAGCGUUGCCCCGCCGCCGGUCUCCACCGCGUCGACCUCCUGCCUCGUCCUCGUUCGGGCAGAGGACGAGGGCAUCCUCCUCGCGCACGUGGGCCAGCGCGUCGCCCUGCUGGUGGGUCACCCCACCUCCAAGGCCCACGUCGCCUCGGCCCAGCCCCGACCGGCCUCAAGGCCCGAUGUGAGCAGCUCCCCGACGCCUGGGCCAGAUCUCAGAUUCGGCCCAGCGUAGUUUUUUUUCCGCUCUGCGAUUUGCUAAUUAUCCAGAGUUUGCAUAUUUACAGAUUAACCCUCCAUGUUCAUGCAUAUAAUAACUCAUGAACCGUGCAUCGGAUUUAAAUAAUUUAUAUAUGUAAAAUGCUUAGAAUUUUGUGUAGAUUAAUAAUAUGCUGCUUGCAUCCAUGUUUAAAAUGUUGUUUGCAUUUAAUUUGCUCAAAUGCCAUGCAAAAAUGAUUUAUUUCAUAACUAAAUAACCGUAGCUCGGAAUUUAAUAAACUUUAUAUGUAAAUGGGGUGGAAAAAUGGCUAGAUUAACAUGGUGCACUUUAUUUUGCUGUUUAACAAUAUUAAAAUUGUGUUUAGGGCAAAACAGUACCGAAUCUAAAAUAUGCACAUGGGGAUUUUUCCGGAAUUGUUGUUUGUUGUUUCCGGCCUCACUUAAACUUGCCUAGAUAGGUAGUUUAAUUAUGUUUCACCUCUUGCCAUGUUUAACAACAUUUAAUAUUGUUGUGUACCUAAACGAGAGCGAACUAAAUAACUCAGAUGUGGUGUUUCGUCAAUAUGCAACUCGUUGCAUAUUGAGCUCCACUUAACUUGUAUUAUUGUUUGUUGCACUUUGCCAUGCCAUGCCUCAUUAAACCGGACAUGCAUCAUACUUGUUUGUGCAUCAUGCCAUGAUUAUGCUUGUGUGUUUACCAUGUUGUUUGUUUCUUUCCGGUGUUGCUUCUUAGUUCCGGUAAUGUUGCGAUUGUGAGGAUUUGUUCGACUACGCCCGUUCAUCUCCUUCAUGGACUCGUUCUUCUUCCUUGCGGGAUUUCAGGCAAGAUGACCGCUACCCUGGAUCUCACUACUAUCAUUGCUAUGCUAGUUGCUUCGUUCUAUCGCUAUGCUGUGUUACCUAUCUUUUGCUCUUCAAGCCUCCCAAAUUGCCAUGAACCUCUAACCUUUGACACUCUUCCUAGCAAACUGUUGCUUGGCUAUGUUACCGCUUUGCUCAGCCCCUCUUAUAGCAUUGUUAGUUACAGGUGAAGUUGAAGAUUGCUCCAUGGUGGAUAGGGUUUUGGUUGGGAUAUCACAAUAUCUCUUAUAUUAUUAAUGCAUCUAUAUAUUUGGUAAAGGGUGGAAGGCUCGGCCUUAUGCCUGGUGUUUUGUUCCACUCUUGCCGCCCUAGUUUCCGUCAUACCGGUGUUAUGUUCCCGGAUUUUGCAUUCCUUACGCGGUCGGGUGAUUUAUGGGACCCCCUUGACAGUUCGCUUUGAAUAAAACUCCUCCAGCAAGGCCCAACAUUGACUUUUACCAUUUGCCUCACCACCACCUAUAUUUCCCUUGGGAGUAAUUAACCCAAGGGUCAUCUUUUUUUAGCCCCCCCCCCGGGCCAGUGCUUGUCUAAGUGUUGGUCCGAAUCGGGCAGACUGCGGGGCCACCUCGGGGCAACUCGAGGGUUGGUUUUACUCGUAGGCUGACCUAUCCGGUGUUGCCCUGAGAACGAGAUAUGUGCAGCUCCUAUCGGGAUUAUCGGCGCAUCGGGCGGCUUUGCUGGUCUUGUUUUACCAUUGUCGAAAUGUCUUGUAAACCGGGAUUCCGAGUGUGAUCGGGUCUUCCUGGGAGAAGAUAUAUCCUUCAUUGAUCGCGAGAGCUUAUCAUGGGCUAAGUUGGGACACCCCUGCAGGGUAUAAUCUUUCGAAAGCCGUGCCUGCGGUUAUUGGCAGAUGAGAAUUUGUUAAUGUCCGGUUGUAGAUAACUUGACACCAGAUUCGAAUUAAAACGCAUCAACCGCGUGUGUAGCCGUGAUGGUCUCUUCUCGGCGGAGUCCGGGAAGUGAACACGGUUUAUGGGUUAUGUUUGACGUAAAUAGGAGUUCGGGAUCACUUCUUGAUCAUUGCUAGCUUCACGACCGUUCCUUUUGCUCUGUUCUCGCUCUUAUUUGUGUAUGUUAGCCACCAUAUAUGCUUAGUCGCUGCUGCAACCUCACCACUUUACCCCUUCCUUUCCUAUUAAGCUUUGCUAGUCUUGAUACCCAUGGUAAUGGGAUUGCUGAGUCCUCGUGGCUCACAGAUUACUACAACAACAGUUGCAGGUACAGGUUAUGCGAUGAUCAUGACGCGAGAGCGAUGCUUGCUUGCGUUGGAGUUCUUCUUCUGUUUCUUCUUCGAUCAGGGGAUAGGUUCCAAGUCGGCAGCCUGGGCUAGCAGGGUGGAUGUCGUUUGAGUUUCUGUUUGUGUUUCAUCCGUAGUCGGAUGGUGCUCUAUGUAUUGUGAUGUUGUAUUCGUGUGGCAUUGUAUGCCUCUUGUAUGUAUCCACAUCUAUUAUAUAAUGUUGAUGUAAUGAUAUCCACCUUGCAAAAGCGUUUCAAUAUGCGGGUCUAUCCUUGGUGGGACCUUCGAGUUCCUUUUGGAUAGGGUCGCAUAUUGGGCGUGACAUCUCUAGACCAAUAAGUCCCUGGAAACAAACACCGUCUACGUGUGUGUCGUGGGGUUAGUGGCUGGUGUGAUGGCCGGGUCGUGUGUGUGCGUCCGGGUAUAAAAAGCCCUCCCAUGUAUUGAUUGAGGUGCGCCCGUUUGUUGCCGCGCCACGGUGACGGUAUGUGCCGAACCGAGGGGAAGGGGCCUAAGGAAGAUGUAGUCUUCAUCGGGACCGUGGUAUGCGCCUGGUUGAUGUGAGAGUUCUUCCGGGGUUGUGCUGCGUGUGUGUACCUCCAUGUAUGUGUGUUUGAGUAGUUGAGUUGAAUAGAAGCCAACAUACAGGCCGUUCGGCGGCCGGGGCGUUCGUCGCUGGAAAAUUCUGUUCAUCUUCUUCUACCUUCGUCCGGCGGUCGUCGUCGGAGGGCGGUUCGGCGUAUGUCCCCGGUGGGUUUGUCCCAACAUUUGGUAUCAUGAGCUUCGUUGUCUUGGGCGUCGUUCUCCUUGCCGGAGGAGUGCCGGCAGUGGCGGAGUUCGCCGGCGGCUGCGCGGUGCUCCGGGCCGUGUGUCGGCCUAUGGAGGUGCGCGGCGCUGCGACAGCGCGGCGAGGAGGCCGCGGAGGUCCUGCUUGGUGGCGCAGAGGCCGCGAAGGCGCGGCGGCAUUGUGUAGCACGGCGUCGGCCGCCCGAGCGCGUCGGCGUCGACGACGUGUGUUGCAGGCAGUGAAGGGAAUUGGCGUGCAUCGCCGGACACGAAGAAGAAGAAGAUGCAGCAGGGUUCACGUCUGAGAGGCUGUAGCGGCGGCCAUGGUGGCAACGAUGACGGGAGCUGCAGCGAGGACAACAGCGACGAUGUCAUGGCUUAGGAGGUGAGUGUUGGCAUAAGCCAUGCCAUGUGCGGUGGUGACUGGCGUUGGGCGCGCCAAGUGUGUGUCCGUGUAUGCGUGGGAGAGGCCGCCCGAGUCGUGUGUGCUGUGACAGUUCGUGCAUGCAUGUAGCUGGAUUAGUGGUCGCAGGUGGUGACCGAGCCACACGGGUCAUACGUGCAUCUAGUCUAGGUAGUUAGUAUAUGGAUGCAUGCAUGGGUGGUUAGCGUGUUAGCCGGCCAGUGGUGGUUGGAUUACUACAUGUGUGUCGUGGGGUUAGUGGCCGGUGCGAUGGCCGGGUCGUGUGUGCGCGUCCGGGUAUAAAAAGGCCUCCCAUGUAUUGAUGGAGGUGCGCCGGUUUGUUGCCGCGCCACGGUGACGGUAUGUGCCGAGCCGAGGGGGAGGGGCCUAAGGAAAAUGUAGUCUCCAUCGGGACCAUGGUAUGCGCCUGGUCGAUGUGAGAGUUCUUUCGGGGUUGUGCUGCGUGUGUGCGUGUGUACCUUCAUGUAUGUGUGUUUGAGUAGUUGAGUUGAAUAGAAGCCAACAUACAUGCCGUUCGGUGGCCGGGGCGUUCGUCGUUGGAAAAUUGUGUUCAUCUUCUUCUACCUUCGUCCGGCGGUUGUCGCCGGAGGGCGGUUUGACGUAUGUCGCCGGUGGGUUUGUCCCAACAGAACCAACCUCUCGUGGAUCAGCCAUGCGUAACCCUAGCGUCUGAUCCAAACUGUCCACACAUAGCGAUCUAAUGACAUGAAAGGGUGCGGGGUUUCAGGGGGGGUGGGGUUGAGGGGUUUUGAGAGGGUUUCAAGGGUUAAGGUUGAGCAUAAGUAAUUAAAAAAAUACAAAAAUAUGAAACAUGUGCAUCAUCGUUUUUAUGUGACUAAGUUGCUAGGAAAAAUAAGGAACUUGGUAUACGGAUAUUUUCAUGAAAAUCCCUUUACAGAACUUGGCUAUCAUGAAUGAGGUUGCAGUGUUUUCAAGGGAUAUGAGCUAGGGUUUAGGGUUAAGCAUGACAUAGUUUGUCCAAAUGAUCCCAUAUUGGGCAUGAACCCUAUAUUUGCACACUUUAUGUCAAGAUUUUUUUUCGCUCAUUUAGAGAAGGUCGAAAAAAAACUUGCAUAUAAUUGAUGUUGUUUACCCUAGCUUUGGAGCUCAUUUUUCAUGACUAUGAGUUUUACUUUCACAAAAGUGCUCGGAUUGAUCACCUCAAGUGCAUGAUAUUUGAAAAAGCAUCGAAACAUCAAUACACAUCAAAGUACAAAUUUGAAUUUUGGCUCAAAUUUGAAUAGUGUGUACCAAUAUACAUCAGAGUACAAAUAGCAUUACAUCACACAAGUUUCAAUACCACAAACCAAGAACAAGUUUGGACAAAAAGACGGGAAUACAUAGUGUGUACCAAUACACAUCAAAGUACAAAUAACAUUACAUCACACAAGUUGAUCCCCAUGUUUGUGCCAAAUAUGGUCACCUUAUUAUGAAAUAUUUUGAAAACUCCCUUGUUCGUAGGAAAAAUUAUAAACUUGAAAUACCAUAAAAUAAAAUAAAUUCUUCACAAAAUUGCCAAAUUUGAACUUGUGCACUAUUUAUAGAGAUUGUGCCAAAUCCUUCACUAUUUCUAGGAAUUUCUAUGAAGCAAGUAGCAGAAAUAUGAUAAAAUUGGCAAAAGUACAUUUUUGCGUCUUAUUUGUGAUAUUUGCUUCACCAAAAAAAACUUUAUUGGAAGUUGAAAAAUGAUUUUUAUUGUAACAAAUUUGGAAACUCCCUCUUUUGAAAGCUAUCUUUUUAGUGUUCAUUCUUAAAUACAAUUCUCUGAAAAUUGUGAGCAAUUUUUAUUAAAUUAGUAAGGUAAAUAGGGAUUUAUAGACAUUUUUUGCUAGAGUUGGACCAAGAGGGAAUUUGAUUAGGAAUUUCUAAAGAAGUCCUGUAUAUAUCAAAUAUAGAUUUAAAUCAAAGAUACAUAGAAAAACUUCAUGUAUAAUUAUGAAAAUUGGAUAUUAAAUAGGUCUGGAGAUCUGAUGAAUUUAUGAACUUGAAUCAACUCAACUAGAUUUAAAAUGAAUGUUCUAUGAAUUUAUAAAAUUGACUAGAAUUGCAAAAAGGUAUUCGAUACUGUUCAGGCGGGCUAAACAGAUCGACCCAAUUACUUAAAAUACCAAUCUGGCGCGCUUAAGGAGAUACGCACACAUGUCACACUGGCUCGACCCAGCUUUGUCUCUACGGGCUGGGAUGCGACGUCAAUGGCACACUAUUGAGGUGGUCCCACUCGUUAGGAUGUCAUCCAAGUAACAGUAAAUGGGCUUUUAUCCAACGGAAUGCAUCGUUUGGGCAUUUGCGAGGCCGGGGCCUAGUAAAGAGGGGAAAAGUGAGGAACGUGAAGGUGGCAGAGCAAAACUAAGUAGAACUAAAGAAUCAGGGGCACCAAAAUAGAAAGCCCUAAAUCCUAUGAACGUGCUCCUCGAUGAUCACGUAGACACUUCUCAAAUUGCUCAUGGUCGUAUGUUAAUACUAUUUGAGUCUAUUUUAGUUACGAUUUAUCUUAAAUUUAUAAUAGUGAGACUCAGCUGCCUCCUACUCCUCCAAAACAAAACCUAGGGUUCCUGCCUCUCGCCGGCACCACCGCAGGUCCGCCUCGCCUCCGGUGGUCCUAGGCAGGGCCGGCCCUGAGGGGGGGCAGGGGGGGUGGCCGCCCCGGGCCCCCAACAUCGAGGGGUCCCCUCUCAAGUAAAGUAGCCCAGGGAUUCUCCCCAAAAAAAGAAGCGACUAGGACUGGGUCGUAGCAUGGCUUCAGGCCUUUUGCAUGUUCAGCUUCAUAUGGCCCAAGUGGAUUGCUGGGCUAGGUAGUCAUGCAUGUACGCAUUAUUUCUCGGAAACAAAAACGCACGCACUAUGGCUGAUCGAUUAAAUCAGAUCAGAUCAGAUCAGCUCGAAGAGGGGCAAUGUAUCACGCACGGCGUUGGCGAUCGAGGGAACGAAUUCCGCUUCAGGCCGAACGCCCUUGCCAUCACCUGAUCGCCGUCUAGUCUCGCCUCUCGCGACCUUCAUGCGCAGCAGUAGCCAAGAGACGAGAGGGGACAAGGCCUGCUUAGACUGGAUCAGAAUCUAUCAGUUGAUUUUUAAAUCCGUGUUCUACAGCUCUAAGGUAGCCUCUCUGGUAGUCCCUAGUUCCUAAAUUUGUUGUUUGUUAAUUGAAGUCGAUGCCCAGAAUUGUUUUUCACAAUCCAAUCAUUGGAUAGGAUUAGUGUGUUGAAAACUGCACUAUCUGUGCUUCAUUUAAAGAUGACACAAAAAUUAAUUUUGUAAUUGUUGUGGAUUGCAUUCCAAUCGAACCCAAUUUGCUCAGUUUGGAUUAAUGGUUGCUGAGGUAUCACCAGAAUGGUGCUGCUGUACAAGUAUUUUCAAAGUUGAGCAGAUAUUGUUUUUGCGACUUUUAACAAAUUUCUAUUCGCAAGAACUAGUCUAUAUUCAGAUAUGACCAGUUUCUUAUUACAACAUGCAUGAAAGACGUAGAUAACUUCAUGUUGAAUAUCCUGAUUUUCUUAUUUUCUUCAUUUUGUAAAAUGGAUCAUGAUUUGUAGCCUAGAAAUUCAUAUAUGACGUGCUUUGGAGUUCAAAUUAAAUGGAGAAUCCAAGCUAUGCUUGUAUAUUUACCUAAUAAUAAUUAAUGGGCUAGCUCUAGGAGAUAUUUAUACAUAUACUAUUAGGUAUUAGGAUGUUCAAGAGCCAAGAACAAUACAUAAAAAUUUUAUGUUUAUAUUAAAGGGGCCUCGGGUUUUACUUUCGCCCCGGGCCCCCGAAUUGUCAGGACCGGCCCUGGUCCUAGGGCCAUGGGGGACGCGGUGGAUCCUGACAAGGGCCGGCGGAAGGGCUCCGUUUUUAGUCGCUUCUUUCAGUUGGGUUUGUGUCCUGUUCAGGAAGACGAAAUAGUGGCGGCUCCCUAAAGAUGAAAUAAAGGUCUCCCCGCCUAGUCCCUGUUCCGACGGUGCGUCUAGCAUCGUUGGUGGGCGUGUGAAGGCGUAUUUUCGGCGAAUCUACCUUUGGUGGAUUUGCUUGGAUCUCAUCGUUUUUUGUCCACGUUUGUGUGUCUCCGGUUUGGAUCCUUCUGAUCUACAUUAUUUUUCAUCGGCGGCGGUUGCUGUUCUGGUGUGUUGGUCCUAUGCGGCCUUAGCACGACGACUUACCGACUAUCUACUACAAUAAGUUGUGCCCAACUCCGGCAAUGGAGUGGUGAUGACGGCAGCGUGCCUUCGGCUCGCUUCAAUACUUAUAGUCGUCGCUAGGUGGUCUAGGAUCUGGUUGUAAUUUUUAUUAUUUUCGGUGUUCGUCGUACUGCCAUGAUUGAUGAUGAUUAGAUCAAAAGUUUUCUUGCAAAAUAGAUAAAUAAUACUCCCUCCGUAAAUUAAUAUAAGAGCGUUUAGAUCACUGCUCACUUAGGUCGGCUAACGAGGAGUAAUAGUGAGACUCAAGCUUCCAUAGCGAUUCGGUACCCUUAGCCAUUCUAUUGGAUCUUCAAUGCUCCAGAUUUAGGUUUGUGAACCACCAUCGCCCCAACGCUUAUUUGGCCCUCGUUCACCUCGUUAGCCGACCUAAGCAGGUCGGAUGAACGUCAAAAGGCGAAAUCACGGAGAGCACUCCAACUCUCCCAGGUUGCGACAAGUGGCACGAGAUCACUCCAACUUCCCCAGCUUGCGUCAAGUGAGGUGCUGUAUGAGUGCCACUUGUCGCAACCUGGGAGUUUUUCCUUUUUUUGUAGAUCAGAUUAUUUAAAACGUUUUAUCUUUUAAACCAUGCGUUCAAAUCUCCAACCGCUUUCGCCGUUGGAUUUCUCGCGUCGAGAUCUUCAAAACUAGAUCCCAUGUUGAUAGGUCUUGACGAACUUUUUUUUCAUGAAAAAACCGGACGAAAAAACCCGAUGAAAAAACCGAACCGGGAACACGGUUUUUUUUCCUUUUCGAAAGAGGCACACCCAUGCCUCUGACGAAAUCACAACCUUGCCUCUCGCGGAAAAAAAACCGUGCCUCUCGCGAAAUACAAAAAACAGAAAACGUGUUUUCCCUUUUCGAAAGAGGCACGCCCGUGCCUCUCGCGAAGCACAACCGUGCCUCUCGCGGAAGCAAAACUGUGCCUCUCGCGGAAGGAAAAAGCCCAGAAAACACGUUUUUUUCCCUUUCCAAGAGAGGCAGGCCCGUGCCUCUCGCGAAAGCACAACCGUGCCUCUCGCGGAAGCAAAACCGUGCCUCUCGCGAAAGGAAAAAAAAACAGAAAACAUGUUUUUUUUCGUUUCCAAGAGGCACGGCCGUGCCUCUCACGAAAGCAGAACCGUGCCCUCGCGAAAACAAAACCGUGCCUCUCGCGAAAAAAAUACGUUUUUUUGCGCAAAAAUAUUAUUUUUUUUUCAAAAUUAUUUUUUGUCGAAAAGCUAGGGAAGACCGGUGGAAAACCAAAACAUAAAAAAACCCGGAGAAAAACCGUUUAAAAAGCCGAAAACGCGUGCGGAAAAAUAAAAAAACAAAAGCCGAAGGGAGCGCCCAGAGCGCGACACGUGGCGAAUGGCUGAGAGCGCGCCAAAUAACGCUGAUCGUUAUGAGGCUCCCGAAGAAGCGCUCGUUAAUUAGUUGCUCCCGUCAAAGGUACGCUGCUCCGAACACUUACGUCAAUGUCAAUGGUUUUUGCUCGUCAACGCCCAUGUGAACGCUCGGUUUGGCCGGCCCAUUAAGCAUCCUUCGACCGCUCACUCGCUUGAUCACUAACCAGCUCGCUCGCUCGUUUGAUCGCUGGACCGGCUCGCUCGCUCGCUUGAUCUGUAGACAAAUUUGCUUGCUCACUUUCUAUUGGUUCGGAGAAACCAGUGAUAUUCUUUGGGGGGAAAACCAAGUCCCGGUUUUUAUGGGCUAAAAAACAUAAAUUAAAAAAAUAUUUGUUGAUUUGAAAAAAGUUCAUCAUGGUGAAAGAGUUCACAAAUUUGAAAAAUAAUUUCGUGGAUAUGAAAAUAGUUUGUGAAUUUCGACAAAAUUUCAUGAAUUUUGGAAAUGUCCAUGAGUUUUUAAGAAUUAUUUGUUUUUUUUCAAGAAUUUAGAAAAAUCUUUCCGAAUUCAAAGAAGUUCAUGAAUUUGAAAAUACUUCUGAAUUUGAAAAAGGUCCAGGAAUUAAAAUAAAAAUGAAAAUGAUAAUAAAAACAAUCUGAAAUAAAAAAAGGAAAAUAGGAAAAAAAACAGGAAAAAAUACUAAAAGAGACUAAAUAGAAAAAAGAAGAAAACCAAAAAAGCACAGGCACAAUCUUCUAGAAUGUUCACAAAACCUUUUUUUUAGAAACACCGGUAAUUUUAUGCAUACUCAUAACAAUUGAAGGUACACUGAUUUGGAUCUAAGAUCCAAGAAAAUACAAAGUAACUCCGAUGACUAAGUGUUACAAUGACACCUCUUGAAAACACCUUCUUCAAGGUAACAAUCUUUGCUCGAAGAAAUACUUCAAAGACUUCGAUAAAGAUACUGCAAUUGGACUGAAGCAACAAUUUUGUCACUCUUUUACCUACACGAACAUUACCAAUAAUGAUUUUUAAAGGUGCCACUGUUUCGGGCGUUUUCUCAUGAACCGGGCUGCUGUGGGCCGAGUGGCUGCCGAAGUGCUAUGAUCGGGCUGCUGAUCGUUGAUCUUUUUUUUUUAGCCACCGAUGUAGAAGAACACAAAUGUUGCAUGUGACCAACGUGCCUAAAAGAACGUCUUUCAAAAAUAUGUCGUUCAAGGACCUGUAAUAAUAGGCUGUUCAAAAAAGGACAUGAAAUAGUGUUGUGGAGGGAGAGACCCGUGUGUUGUAGCAGAGUGAAACUCGGGCCUGUGUGCUGGACCUUGUAGCAAUGAUUUGGCUUUGGAUAUCAUUUAGCUCUGUUUCCAAGUUACAAAUAAAACAUCCCAAAAAAACUUGUGGCUAACAAGAACUUGUUUAAACUCGUAAAUGUGUGCAUACUACAAUGCAAGUUGAUAUUAGACAUUGAUUGCAUGUACUCCUCCGUCCCAAAAUAAGCGUCUUAACUUUUACUAGUUCUAAUAUAAAUUUAUACUAAACUCAAGACUAGGGCUGGAAAAAAAGCUCGAAGCUCGCGAGCUAAAUGAGUAGCUCGUGGCUCGGCUCGAAUCGACUCGAACUCGAAGAAUAACGAGUCGAGUCGAGCUUUAGUUUAAGAUCGUUUAUAGACCAAGUUGAACGAGCCAAUCUCACGAGUACUCGUGUAACUCGUUAGGCUCGAUACAAAAGAUCAGCCACUCCCAAAACAAAAAAAAAUCAGCCACUCAGCACUCUAUGUCUCAGGCGCACAACACAAGGCCUAGCCGUUGAAGGCCCAAUCGCCUAGGAGACUCAUGCGUUAUAAGGAAACUAUUAUUGUUUAGUGAUAUAUAUGUUUAAUAUAUACAUAAUCAUUUUUAUAAUAUAUGAGGGUUUUAUGAUCAUAUCUUUAACGAGCUUAACAAGCUAAACGAGCCAGCUCGUGAGUUAUACGAGUCGAGCCAAUCUUGAAUUUGAGCUCGUUAUAAUAACGAGUCGAGUCGAGCUAACUCGUUAACGAAACGAGCUCUAGCGAGUCGAGCCGAGCUGGCUCGACUCGGCUCGAAUUCCAGCCCUACUCAAGACACUUAUUUUGGGACGGACGGAGUACAUUUUAGCUAGUAGUAGAUAUUAUUUGCGUGUUAAUUAUGUAAUUACCUAACAAAGAUAUUUGGUAUGGUGCAAAUUGCAUGCAUUAGGGCGGAUAUUAUUUGGUAUGGUGCUAAUUGCAUGCAUUACUAUUAUUUACGCAUUAAUUAUGUGAUUGCCACCGACGUCGAUAAUUUGUAUGAUAUUAAUUAAAUGUUAGGGCAUCUCCAAGGCGGAUCCGUAAACCUCAUGUAACCAUUCAGACCGUGCUUUCCGGACCGCGGAAGCCGUCCAACGCCAUCCUUUAUCGGUCCGCGGGACGGUCCAGAAGCGAUUAUCCGGCAAAACGGAGACAAAAGUGUGGGAGGUUUACGAGAGUCCGUACACGCGAAACGUACGAAUCCGACACCCCAGGCCCACCCAAAACCCUUUCCUGACCCCGCGACUCCAUCCUUCCUAUUUUCUCUCCUUCCUCCUUUCUCUUUUGCUGUCACCGCCGCUCCACUACCCCGACCACCACGCCACACCCCUGUCGAAAAUCUGCGUCUGCAUCAAUAAAUUCGGCGCCUAAUUAUAUUUCUUUACGGAGGGAGUACCUUAUUAGAAAUCAUACAUGUUGUGCCGCUUAUUCGAAUAUAUUACCAAAUGUUCUACUUAGACAAUUUUUUUUGCACAAUGACAUUCCAAUGCUUUUUUUUGACAAAAAUGACGUUCCAAUCCUUAUUUAUAUGUCGGUGUCACAUGUGUUAAUUUUGCAACGUAUACAUAACAUUACCCAUUAGGAUUGAGCCUCUAUCUUUACUGUAAGCCCUACGAUAUUUGACAAUCCAUCGUACACCAUUGGACAGUUUGUUUUUUUCAAAGGGCAUCCGAUGCUAUGUAGUUCUAAGCUUAUUUCUAGUUACUCGCAAGACUCCGACAGAGUAUAUCAUGUGGAAUUUCUUGUUCUUAUGGUUAGGAUGAACCGUUGCAACCUCUCGCAAUAAAUAAUUGUGCAAAAAAAAUUAUGAUCAUCACAAUAAUAUUAGGUCUUGGGACCAUGACUUAUUACAUAAUCAGUUUAUCCACUCUACAUAAAGCAGGGGACUCACAUAGACACAUGCAUAUUGGAUACUACAUUAUGGAAGGCGUGCAUGCAUCCCUAACCGAUCACACCCUUAGCUCCACCUGGGGCUCUACACGAAGUUGCUAACCUGAAAGGACUGGUCGAACGUGGCUGCAUGCUCACUGCCAGUAAACCUGAGCUUGUCACCGACGCGUUGAACCUUUUGAAAUGCAAGAAAAUCCCAUUUCACCUAUAUCCUCACGCCGCCCAAUUGGGUUAUGGAUCCGGGCCGGAUAACCCCACUGAUUAUGAUGUCAAACCGAAUCGUGUGUUGUCCGCCAGCAACCGUCACGUUGAAGUCGCACGAGGCGGGGAGGGUCACCUCAACGGCGCCCCCAUGGUUCACGUACGACUUCACGCCCAGAGCCAGGAGAGCCUGCGGGAAGUUGUUUUUCACCAAAGGUUGUACGCUGUGUCGCAGGUGGCCGCUUGGAGGAUGGAAGCCAU